rnacentral:lncRNA from 1 species
CACAGAUAUGAGAAGCUGAAUAUUUCAAUGAAGCACAGUCCACCUCAGCAAUACUAAUCACUGACCGUUCAUCAGGCUUACAAAAUUUGCAGCUAAUUCUGCACAGCUUGGCCAACAGGAAUUAAAAGGCCAUAGUGACUUAGGGUCAAAUCAACCUCUUUUAAUGCCUGGGUGUGACCCCACAGCACGGGACCAUAAAGACUCCAUCCACAAAUUAAAGAUUUCUCCUGCUGGCAGGCCUGCUGAGUAACCAAGCCCCAAGUCAAAAUCACCUUCUGGUAAACACAGAGACUCUGAACCACAGUUUGCCGGCUUUCUUCUUUGUGACUAAUGACCACCAUGAAGAGCUUCACAGCAGUGUGGCCUGUUACCGGAGCCAGAAAAUACUUGUUUUUGCCUACAAGGGCAGUCUGUGCAUUUUAAGGUAUGUUUAUCAUUAUUUGUCAUGUUUAGCUGUUUGUUUCUUUAAAGACGACUCACAUCUCCAACCUCUGACAAGGUUUAACCAGUGCCGAGGCUGCGGCAACAGAAAUUUCCUAAAUCCAGGCAUUUGCGACACAGUAAUUAAAUGCCCGCAUGCUACUGUCGGCCCCCCUGCCUCCUAAUCCCAGUAAAUUUUGAGCUUUCUAAAAUCAGGCCGUUUCAGAUAUGAAUAAAUCUAUAUGUUAAACCA